UACGGAGGGUGCGAGCGUUUGUUCGGAAUCACUGGGCGUAAAGCGCGUGUAGGCGGCCCAUUAAGUCUGAUGUGAAAGCCCGGGGCUCACCCCCCGGAAGUGCAUUGGAUACUGAUGGACUCGAGUCCCGGAGAGGAGAGUGGAAUUCCUGGUGUAGCGGUGAAAUGCGUAGAUAUCAGGAGGAACACCGGUGGCGAAGGCGGCUCUCUGGACGGUGACUGGACGCUGAGACGCGAAAGCGUGGGGAGCAAACAGG
rnacentral:rRNA from 1 species